UACAGAGGGGGCGAGCGUUAUUCGGAAUUAUUGGGCGUAAAGGGCGCGUAGGCGGCUGCGCAAGUCUCGGGUGAAAUCCCUCGGCUCAACCGAGGAACUGCCUUGGAAACUGCGCGGCUCGAGGCCGGGAGAGGAUGGUGGAAUUCCCAGUGUAGCGGUGAAAUGCGUAGAUAUCGGGAGGAACACCUGUGGCGAAGGCGACCCCCUGGUUGGAUACUGACGCUGAGACGCGAAAGCUAGGGGAGCAAACGGG
rnacentral:rRNA from 1 species